CUGCUUCUACUUUCUGUAUGGAGCUGGGAGCGUCUGCCUGUUGGAUGCCCGAAGAGCGUCAGGUUUGAUCCUUGGUAUGCAGAUGAACAUGACGAAUUACGGCGCCCCACGUGGGCUUACAAGUGGGAUAUCGUUUCCGAGAUGACGAACGAUGUCAAUCUCAUGUACCAAAAGUACAUUGCCGAGUUGGACACGAUUACGCCUGAGCAGGUAAGGAGGUCAUUACUUUAG
rnacentral:rRNA from 1 species